CUGGAAAUAAACGUGGAUUUACCGACACUGGCACAAGCUUCUUUACCUGGUUCUGUGAUCUUGGAUGUGUUGCAAUGAAGGCCUAUGAUGAGGUUACAAACUUAAUUAAACAGGAUUUAUGGCCAGAUGCAGGCAGAUAUGUUGUCUACGGAAAUUUAGAUUAUGGAAAUAAGGUUGUCCUUGAUGCAAUUGACGAGACAUCACACUUUACCUCGUCGCUACGUGCAUUCUUCAUAUAAAUUGGAAACUAAACAUGAGUAGGAGUUCAAAAUCUUUUGGAUGUCAGGAGUAAUGCAGGAGUUCAAAAUCUUUUGAAUGCCAGGAGUAGUGUAUAGCAUGUUUGGUGGUGUACUCAGACUAACGGUGUCAGCUAACUUGUAGGAGUUAGUAGUGGUGCUUAUUAGUGUGUUACCUGGUUAGUAG